UGUUGCCAAGAAGGCUAACAGCAGAUUGGGCUGCAUUAGUAGGAGCAUUGCCAGCAGAUCAAGGGAAGUGAUUUUUCCUCUCUCUUCUGCACUGCUGAGGCCACAUCUAGAGUACUGUGUCCAGUUUUGGGUCACUAUAGAAAGGAUGUGGUCAAGCUGGAGAGAGUCCAGCAAAGAGCAAUGAAAAUGAUUCGGGGACUGGGGCACAUGACUUGCGAGGAGAGACUGAGGGAACUGGGUUUUAGUCUGCAGAGGAAAAGACUGAGGGGAUUUGAUAGCAGCCUUCAACUCCCUGAAGGUGGUUCCAAAAAGGAUGGAGCUGGACUGUUCUCAGUGGUGGCAGAUGACAGAACAAGAAGCAAUGGGUUCAAGUUGCAGCAAGGGAGGAUUAGGUUGAAUAUUAGGAAAAACUUUCUCCCUAGGAAGGUGGUGAAGCACUGGAACAAGUGAUGUAGAGAGGUGGUGGAAUCUCCAUCCAUGGAGGUUUUGAAGGCCUGACAUGACAAAGACUUGGCUGGAGUAAUCUAGUUGGGGAUGGUCCUGCUCUGAGCAGGCGGUUGGACUAGAUGACCUGAGGUCCCUUCCAAUCCUCAUUUUCUAUCAUUCUAUGAUUCUAAGAACCGAGAGCAAAACAACGUGAGUACAAGAUGAACCCUUUUUCCUGGACACCUCUUCUGGGUCAGGGAUUUUUAUAGGACAGGGUGAAGGGUCAGCUGACCCUGGCUGCCCAUUCCAGUGGCAGAUAAUGGGUGGGUGGCUAGGACCCUAUGGAAAGUUUUGACCAGCUGUGUCCCACAUAGAUGCUGAGCUGAUAAGACUGCAGACUGGGAGGAAUGGCUAUGAUGGGAAGGCUAAAGCCCUGAUUUCAAAGCCAGGGCCUGAUCAUGUUUGUAUAUAUACACACAUGCAUAGAUAGCAUAUAUGUAUGUGUACACACACACAUGCACACACGUACACCAGAGAUGGCUACUGCCAUCCCACCCUUUUUAAGCUAUAAAGUAGAUAACUCCUCCUAUGCAGUGACACACAAAAUGCCAGAGUAUGUUGUAUUUCUUUGCCUACUUCCUCUUCUCUUUCUCAUGAGGUUAGGGAAUAUACCUUGCUGACUUUUCUUCCACCUUGUGGCAGGGCACUGUGUGUGCCUGCCACUUUAAGGGCCUGGAGCUGGCAGCCACCAGGUGCCUGAUGAGGGCAGCCAUUUUGGAGUCAAAGGCUGCCUAUAUAAACAGGGCAGUUUGGCUGCUGGAGGCCAGGCAACAACAUUGCCUGGCCAGAGGGCUGCUGAGAUCAACUGGAGGGCCCAGAGAGCAGACCCUGGGAGAGAGUGAGGGGCUAGAGACCCGACCCGAAUGGGAGAGUACCCUCGACUGGCUCAUACUGGGGCAGCAUUGUGGAGAAGGCCCUGGAGAGAAGGGCGGCGUUAUUGCGAAGGCCCCAGAGAGAGAGCGGCGCUGCAGAGGAUCCCUGAGAGAGGGCAGCACUACGGAGAAGACCCCAGGGCAUACUUUCUACUGCACAAGACAUUCUUGAAGAUGUAUGAUUGACAAGGCACAGAGUAGUAAACAAGAUUUAUAGCAUAUGCCAAUUUAAUAGUUUUUCUUUUUUUUUUUUCUUCCACUGCUGAAGAGUAAUGUAUAAAUAAUUACUGAAGUGAAGAAUUUAAAUAAUACCCUAUGGAUGGACAAUCCAAGAAGCUGUUUAGACUUCAGCUACAUUUUUUAGCAAGAACACAACUUCAUAAUUGCAAUCUGAAUAUGUAACAAAUCAGUGGUUUUGUAAGCAAAAUAGUUUUUGUUAAUUAGACCUGUAUGAAGCAUUCCCAAUAAAAUCUGAAAUCACAUGACAUUUUGACUCUAUGCCAAGCUUAACACCCAGAUCAACAUCACUGAUAGAUCUGUUAAAAGUCUCAAGGACAAAGAAUAAUAGUCACAAACUGAUUGAAGAUCGCUUCAGGCUAGACUUAAGGAAAAACUUCUUUACAAGUUAAGUGCUGAGAGUUUUGGAACAGGGUCCCCACAGAGGUGCUACAGUCAUCCACCCUGGCGAUCUUCAAAAAGCAUCUUGAUGUCCAUCUUGCUGGGAUCAUCUGAUCCCAGCAGUCUUUCCUGCCCAAGUGCAGGGGAGCUGAACCCAAUGAUCUGUAAGACUAUGAAAUCUAGAUCCAGCUUGAGAGAACUUGAGCAAAACUAUUGUUUUGCAUAGACUGCAUGCAAAAUUUUUGGCUCCUCAAGGUUGUGAGCAUAUUUCUGUUUGAGUUCCUGGUGACUUUUAUGAAGUUCAGUGCUUAUGUACUACUACAAGUUCUUUAUUUGGUAGGACAGGAAGAGCCUUAAUACCGCUCAGGAGUUGAAAUAGGCUAGCCAAAGAAUGCAAGGAAUCUGCUCUGGCAUCUACCGCCCUCCCUUCCUUACUUCUCUUGAUAAGAGGCUUCUGCUUAUUUUUGGAUAUUGGGUAGCCUUUUGUUGUCAUUUUCAGGUAAUUCUGUAACUCUGUCUGCAGCGAUAGCAAAUGGUGGAGUUGUACCAGCAGGUGUUCAUUAUGAAUUUGUCAUGCUCUGGGUAAAAAAUGCCCAGAGUACAUGGAAUACCUGGAAAAUGUAAGCAUGGUUAGGAUUUGCAGACUUUUAAGGAGCUCUGUGUACCUGGAUUUGUGACAGGGAAAUCCGAGAAGAACCCUGAGUAACUGGCUGAGAUCUCACCAGUAAAAAAAGGGGGAAAGAAGGCUGGCAGGAUGAGGAGAUUGGAGAAAGGAUUAUAAAAAGCUCCACCUUUACCUCAGUAAAUAUUCAGGCUGAAUUGUCUGGCUGAGUGAAGGUUUGAGAGUCAGUUCACAGGAACAUGGGGAGUCUAAUAAGAUUUCUGUAUUUGAAAAUUAGAUCAUAAUGUAGCUGUAGAGCAGAUUGGACCAGUUAUAACACGUGGCUACUACUGCAGUUACAUUGCACGUCUUUUUGUAUCAUAUUUUACCAAAACAACUGAACAUGUGCUAUCAGCAUCUCGGAGUUAAAUACUAAUGUAUUAUUUUUAAAUUGGUUCUCUUGAUUGGAAUUGUCUCAGGCUGUGGGAUUAUUUUCAAUAGAUUUAUUCUGUAUAUGUUAUGACUGUUCACAGAGGCUUUUAUGUUACCGAGCUGUACUAAAAUGAUCAAUGAUAACAGAAGGAAAGUAUAAAAAAUGGAGAAAACACUGACCUGAAUUGACAACUUAGAUUUAGGAUUUUAGCAAUUAAAAGAUGAGAAUUGGUGUCUGCUCUCUACCACUACAGAGUUCAUUCGUCAUUACCAUUUUUUGUUCCUUGAGGCUGUCUGAUGUUUUCCAGACAACAAUCUGAACGUGACAUUAUGAUUGAAAAGAGCAGAAGGAAUGUCUUAUGGUGGGGAUAUUGAAGGUUAAAGUGCAGAAUGAAAAAACUGAUGGGAUAAAUUGAUGGGAAGAUGUGUAAAAGCUGACAAGCAAUGCAGACAAGGAGAUGCAUAGGUGCUAAGUUAAUUUCCAUUUAACAAACAUUUGUAAAAAUCAUGAUCUUUAUUCAUGUCUUUAAGUGAAAACCAUCCUUAUUGGCAUUUUGUCUUAAAAAGAUUAAAGGUAAAAAUUACAAUAUUUCCUAGGGUUUUUAUUUUGGUUGUUUUUUGGAUGGGGGCAUUGUUUGUUCUUAUUUAUAUUGGAUUUGUGGGGGUGGAGGGCAGAGGAUGUUUCUUUGCAAAUAUACACAUGGAUGCAAGAGCCCAACUUUUGUGUUUUGCCUUGGAAACUCAUUUACUGGUUCUCCAUAAUGCUGGUGUGCCUAAGAUGUAAAGUAAAAAAAAAUAAGUAGAGUAUGGAUAAGAUGCUGUGGGUUUUGCUGUAAUUGAGCAGGUAUUGCCAGACCAAAAGAGUAUUUCCAGUAAAAAAUUGUCCCCUAGUAAAUCAUCCAUUUCAGCAGCUCUUUUAUGGGAAUAUCAGUUCAAAGCUCAUAUAUCAUUAGUAUGUGCUUUGAUUUGGUAGAAAUGGCUCUGACUAAGAUUAUUACAUUUGAUGGGGUAAUAUUUUUGCCACAUUGAAGUGGUUUUUCAUACCCUGCAAAUGGUUCUUGGCACCAAAAUAAUUUAUGUACCCUGCAACUAACUUCAUUGAAGAAAAAUAAGACAUUUUAUAUGGUAAAUGCUGACUUUUUUUUUAAAUUAUUAUUAUUAUUUGCUUGAUUUUAUACUUUUCAAAACUGUUAUUUUUGUAUUUAAUGGUAACACAGAAGGAAUACAUGUAGUAUAUAGCAUUGUAUAUGUGAAGUGGUAAAAGGAAAGAUUUCAUAAAUUGCUGGGAAGUGUUAUUUAUCACAAACUCAUCUGAUCAGAUCUCCCCAAAUAAAGCCUUAUUAAAAAAAAAAAAAAUGAAUAGCAAAUCCAAUGCUUUACAUGAACAAAAAUGUAAUAAGGAAUUGGAGGGUUUUUUGAUUUGUUUUUGUUUAGGUGUGUUAUUAAUGAUUAGAUUACCACAGCUCAGAGGUAGGAGACCACACACAUUCAUUCAUAAGAGAAGCACAUGUGGAUCCCAUCAUCUUCAAGACAGAACUUUUAUCCAGACAUGACUUUAGACAUACUACAAUAACAACCUCUGGAACCAGACAAUUAAUUUAACACUAUAUACUGUAAAUAUGAUGUUUUAAACACAAAGCUUAGUGCUUGGUUUGCAUUACUGUGAAGAGAAAGCUUUUGUUAUAGAGAAUUUUUCAUUGUCUCCAUUUGCUGUGGUUAGAGAUUUCGGGGGAAGCGGCAGAAUACAUGACCCAUGGUUUUGCUUAUUGUGUUAAUGCUAAUAGGCAUGUCUGGCUUUACUGAUGACUUUGGACUUUAAAGAGAGUAUUACAUGGGUCUUGGACCUUCAAAAUGAGUAAGACUUCCAGCCUUUCUCAAGGGUUUGGAACAGGCGAGAAACUGUUUCAAACCCUCGGUACUCAACUUGUAAAUAAGUUUUUACUUAUAGAUUCAUAGAUAGUAGGGCUGGAAGCAACCUUGGAAGAUCAUCGGGUUUAGCUGCCUGCACCAAGCAGGAAGGAUAACAGAGUCAGGUGACCCCAGCAGGGUGACUGUCUAAUCUCCUCUUGAAGAUUUCCAGGGUAGGUGAUUGUACCA